rnacentral:tRNA from 1 species
GCGAGAGUGGCUGAAUCGGAUCGACUGCUAAUCGAUUGUGGGUCAAAAAACCUACCGAGGGUUCGAAUCCCUCC